rnacentral:rRNA from 1 species
UACGUAGGGUGCAAGCGUUGUCCGGAUUUAUUGGGCGUAAAGAGCGUGUAGGCGGCCAUACAGGUCAGCUGUGAAAACUCGAGGCUCAACCUCGAGACGUCGGUUGAAACCGUAUGGCUAGAGUCCGGAAGAGGAGAGUGGAAUUCCCGGUGUAGCGGUGAAAUGCGCAGAUAUCGGGAAGAACACCGGUGGCGAAGGCGGAUCUCUGGGCCGAUACUGACGCUGAGGAGCGAAAGCGUGGGGAGCGAACAGG